UGGGCCGAAAAAUGGGCCCCAAAACACACACAAGACAGCCAGCAGCGCCUAGCCCAGCGCUUAGGCCCAUAACGUAAGCCCAAACCGCGCUCCAGGCCCAAACCCGCGUAGCAGACCCAGUUCACGACCCUUUCACCCGUGCCCGACCUGGUCCACCAUUUUUCUGCAGUUAGGGUUUGUGAAACCCUAGCAGUCGCUGCACAUCACCUGCUCGGCCGCUGUCUAAUGCACCUUCUCCACGACGUCGUCGUUCUAGCCGUGGUCUUCCCUCUGGAGAGCCUUUGCUCGACGCCGGUGUCGCAGAGCCGCAACAACUCCCGGAGCAAGAACACCACCACGACGACUCCGGAAGCAUGUUCAUACCUUUUGAGUGUAGAGAAGUCCCAACUCGAAGAGGUCAGAGUCUCUGUAAUUAUGCUCCAAACAAGACUUCAUUCAAUCAGAAGAUAAGAAGUUGUGCAAAUUCUCAAGAUUCGCCAAGAGAAAACUCUCAAAACAGCUUCUAAAAAUUCGCGAACAGAUAAGCUUUGCACUAUAUAUCCCUGACACAACUAGCACAAUGAGUGAUAUUAUUCUUACUUCAGGAAGUACAUAUGCUAAUACUUUCAAAAUAUCUAUAUAAGUGAGUAUAACGUAUACUCUAACAAUAGGCACUGCAUAUUUUGCUCUCCUAAUGUAUAAUAUUAAUUUGUUCAUUCAAAUUUAUGCAUUUAUAUUUUUUAAUGUGAUUAUUCAUAUGUUAUACUACCUCCGUUCCAUAAGAGUGGUGCAUGAUUGUUGAUGUCACGUGUUUUAAUAAAUAUUAGGUGAGUAUGUUAUUAGUAAAAGAAGGGACCCACUUUUAUUAAUUAGUGGAAGAAGGGGUUCAGAAAAGGAAAGUGCACAUUUUUAUGGGACAUCCAAAAAUAGAAAUUAGUGCAGACUCUUAUAGGACGGAUGGAAUAUUAAUUUGUUCAUCUCAAAUUUAUGAAUUUUAGACGUUUGUGCAUGUAUUAUUCUCUAUUAAUUCUCACGUAAAAAUCUCAUUCUCACUUGAUCCUAAACCUAUAAAUACAAAACAUGCAUAUUAAUACAUUUGAAAUUGGUAGUGAUGAAAUAGCCCCUAUAAUAACCAAUCAAUAAAUUAAUUAGGAAACAUAUAAUAAUCACAACAACAAAUGACGGCCAUUAUUGGUUGAUUCAAGCAUAUACACUCGCGUACACAAAAAAUACAAUUCAAAAGCUGCAGAAAAGAAAACAGUAGAGAAAAGAGAAGACGUUUGAGGUGGGCAGGGCAUCAAUUGGCAAUGGCAUCCUGAUCAUCUUCAUCAUCAUACUCUCCUUCAUUAUCCGCAUUGGCAUCCUGAUACUGCUGAUACUCGGACACGAGAUCAUUCAUGUUGCUCUCGGCCUCGGUGAACUCCAUCUCGUCCAUGCCUUCCCCGGUGUACCAAUGCAAGAAAGCCUUCCUCCUAAACAUGACGGUGAACUGCUCCGACACCCGCCGGAACAUCUCCUGUAUGGACGUGGAGUUCCCGACGAAGGUGGACGACAUGGACAGGCCCGUGGGGGGGACGUCGCACACGCUGGACUUGACGUUGUUGGGGAUCCACUCCACGAAGUAGGACGAGUUCUUGUUCUGCACGUUGAUCAUCUGCUCGUCCACCUCCUUGGUGCUCAUCUUGCCCCGGAACAUCGCCGACGCCGUCAGGUACCGCCCGUGCCGCGGGUCGGCCGCGCACAUCAUGUUCUUCGCGUCCCACAUCUGCUGCGUCAGCUCCGGGAUCGUCAGCGCCCGGUACUGCUGCGAGCCGCGCGAGGUCAGCGGGGCGAACCCCACCAUGAAGAAGUGCAGCCGCGGAAACGGGAUGAGGUUCACCGCCAGUUUCCGCAGGUCCGAGUUCAGCUGCCCCGGGAACCGCAGGCAGCAGGUCACCCCGCUCAUCGUCGUCGAGAUCAGGUGGUUCAGGUCGCCGACUGUAUAUUAUAUUAAUAUAAUCAGACCAGAUCACACCAUACUCUUUUUACUUUACUUAACCUAUAUUUAUGCAUACAUUUCACUUUUGGUACGUUUUUUAAAUUUAUACAUACUCUAUUUUUAGACA